rnacentral:rRNA from 1 species
CUAAACGAUGAAUAUUAGGUGUGGGUGCGAAAUGCAUCCGUGCCGCAGCUAACGCAAUAAAUAUUCCACCUGGGGAGUACGGCCGCAAGGUUGAAACUCAAAGGAAUUGACGGGAGCCCGCACAAGCAGUGGAGUAUGUGGUUUAAUUCGACGCAACGCGAAGAACCUUACCAGGACUUGACAUCCCGCGGAUCUGUGAUAACGAACGGAGUGCCCUUCGGGGAACGCGGAGACAGGUGGUGCAUGGUUGUCGUCAGCUCGUGUCGUGAGAUGUUGGGUUAAGUCCCGCAACGAGCGCAACCCUUACGGUUAGUUGCUACGCAAGAGCACUCUGAUCGGACUGCCGUUGACAAAACGGAGGAAGGUGGGGAUGACGUCAAAUCAUCAUGCCCCUUACGUUCUGGGCUACACACGUACUACAAUGGCGCAAACAGAGGGAAGCUAAGCCGCGAGGCGGAGCGAAUCCCAAAAAAGGCGUCCCAGUUCGGAC